GAUAAACGCUGGCGGCGUGCCUAACACAUGCAAGUCGAACGGCCUUCGGGCAAGUGGCAAACGGGUGAGUAACGCGUUGGAACCUACCGUUAUCUCAGGGAUAACAUCUCGAAAGGGGUGCUAAUACCUGAUAGUCUCUUCGGAGUAAAGCUUUUGCGGAUAAUGAGGGUCCUGCGUCCUAUCAGCUUGUUGGUAAGGUAAUGGCUUACCAAGGCAAUGACGGGUAGCUGGUCUGAGAGGAUGAUCAGCCACAGUGGAACUGAGACACGGUCCACACUCCUACGGGAGGCAGCAGUGAGGAAUUUUGCACAAUGGACGAAAGUCUGAUGCAGCAACGCCGCGUGAAGGAUGAAGAUCUUAGGAUCGUAAACUUCUUUUAUAAGGGAUGAAGUCUGACAGUACCUUAUGAAUAAGCACCGGCUAAAUACG
rnacentral:rRNA from 1 species